rnacentral:tRNA from 1 species
AGGCGGUUAGCUCAGCUGGUUAGAGCGUUGCGUUGACAUCGCAAAGGUCGUUGGUUCGAUUCCAAUACCGCCUACCA